rnacentral:rRNA from 1 species
UCUAGUGAUGAUGGCAAAGAGGUCACACCCGUUCCCAUACCGAACACGGAAGUUAAGCUCUUUAGCGCCGAUGGUAGUUGGGGGCUUCCCCC